AUAUUUUAAAGCAAAAUUGCCUUCUUAAUAUCUUCAAUAUUAUACUUUAUAUAAGCUAUUAAAAUA
rnacentral:tRNA from 1 species